GUAUUGAUUGCGUGUUAUCGCAAAAAUGGGGUCACUCUACACUUUUAAAAGGGGGGGUUUGUGUGAAAACGCGAGCCCCCUCCCGGAUCGGUUUGACCCUGAAGGGUGCCCACGCGGUGGUGCACAAAAGGGUGAGAUGGAUUGUUUGAGAGCGCUCGGGCGUGCACGACAAAAAAGUCAGCGACAGCCCUUGCACCUCAGUUUUACGAUAAUGAUCCUUCCGCAGGUUCACCUACGGAAA
rnacentral:misc_RNA from 1 species